ACACGCUGGCGGCGUGCCUAAUACAUGCAAGUCGAACGGUCUUUUCUAUGGAAGCUUGCUUCCACUGAGAAGAUAGUGGCGGACGGGUGAGUAACACGUGGGUAACCUGCCCAUAAGAGGGGGAUAACAUCCGGAAACGGGUGCUAAUACCGCAUAGUUUUCUUGAUCGCAUGAUCGAGAAAGGAAAGACGGCCUUUGUGCUGUCGCUUAUGGAUGGACCCGCGGCGUAUUAGUUAGUUGGUGAGGUAAUGGCUCACCAAGACGAUGAUACGUAGCCGACCUGAGAGGGUGAUCGGCCACAUUGGGACUGAGACACGGCCCAAACUCCUACGGGAGGCAGCAGUAGGGAAUCUUCCGCAAUGGACGAAAGUCUGACGGAGCAACGCCGCGUGAGUGAAGAAGGUUUUCGGAUCGUAAAACUCUGUUGUCAGAGAAGAACAAGUUGGAGAGUAACUGCUCCAGCCUUGACGGUAUCUGACCAGAAAGCCACGGCUAACUACGUG
rnacentral:rRNA from 1 species